rnacentral:rRNA from 1 species
GCCAACAGCCAUAUCACCAUGCAACUCACACUGGCAACCCACUGAAGCUAAGCAAUUCUGAUUUUGAUCAGUACCUGGAUGGGAGACCUCCUGAGAAAAACUAAGGUUGCUGCUG